rnacentral:misc_RNA from 1 species
GGAAACAUAGAAAAGAAGAUCAGAAGCAAACCACAUAAACUAAAGAAGCUAUAAAGCUAACAUAGAAGAGGAAAACCAAGAAAAUCCAGAUCCAGAUUCAGCAUGAUAGCAAGAAAUCAUGAAAGGAUCCGUUUAUUAUUGGACAAAAUGAAAAACGAAAAGGGCAAUGAAGGUUUAAAGAAAAGAAAGAACUCACUUGGAGCCAGACUUCAG